CAGCAGCCGCGGUAAUACGAAGGGGGCUAGCGUUGCUCGGAAUUUACUGGGCGUAAAGGGCGCGUAGGCGGACAGUUGAGUUGGGGGUGAAAGCCCGGGGCUCAACCUCGGAAAUGCCUUCAAUACUGGCUGUCUUGAGUACGGGAGAGGUGUGUGGAACUCCGAGUGUAGAGGUGAAAUUCGUAGAUAUUCGGAAGAACACCAGUGGCGAAGGCGACUCACUGGCCCGUUACUGACGCUGAGGCGCGAAAGCGUGGGGAGCAAACAGGAUUAGAUACCCUGGUAGUCCACGCCGUAAACGAUGAGUGCUAGUUGUCGGCAUGCAUGCAUGUCGGUGACGCAGCUAACGCAUUAAGCACUCCGCCUGGGGAGUACGGUCGCAAGAUUAAAACUCAAAGAAAUUGACGG
rnacentral:rRNA from 1 species